GAUGAACGCUGGCGGCGUGCUUAACACAUGCAAGUCGAACGGUGAACGAGGGAGCUUGCUCCCUCCGGAUCAGUGGCGAACGGGUGAGUAACACGUGAGCAAUCUGCCCUGGACUCUGGGAUAAGCGUUGGAAACGACGUCUAAUACCGGAUACGAGGCGUGGGGGCAUCCCCAACGCCUGGAAAGAACUUCGGUCCAGGAUGAGCUCGCGGCCUAUCAGCUAGUUGGUGAGGUAACGGCUCACCAAGGCGACGACGGGUAGCCGACCUGAGAGGGUGACCGGCCACACUGGGACUGAGACACGGCCCAGACUCCUACGGGAGGCAGCAGUGGGGAAUAUUGCACAAUGGGCGCAAGCCUGAUGCAGCAACGCCGCGUGAGGGACGACGGCCUUCGGGUUGUAAACCUCUUUUAGCAGGGAAGAAGCGAAAGUGACAGUACCUGCAGAAAAAGCACCGGCUAACUACGUGCCAGCCGCCGCGGUAACAC
rnacentral:rRNA from 1 species